rnacentral:rRNA from 1 species
GUGGGGGAUAUUGGGCAAUGGGGGCAACCCUGACCCAGCCAUGCCGCGUGAGGGAAUGAGGCCCUACGGGUCGUGAACCUCUUUUGCCCGGGGACAAGGGCGCGGUCGGGAACCGCGCUUGAGGGUACCGGGAGAAUAAGCGUCGGCUAACUCCGUGCCAGCAGCCGCGGUAAUACGGAGGACGCGAGCGUUAUCCGGAUUCAUUGGGUUUAAAGGGUGCGCAGGCGGCUCGGCAAGUCAGCGGUGAAAGCCCGGGGCCCAACCCCGGAAGUGCCGUUGAUACUGUCGGGCUGGAAUGCGGUCGGGGCGGGCGGAACGUGGCGUGUAGCGGUGAAAUGCGUAGAUAUGCCACAGAACGCCGUUGGCGGAGGCGGCUCGCCAGGCCUGCAUUGACGCUCGGGCACGAAAGCGUGGGGAUCGAACAGG